rfam:Catabacter hongkongensis strain HKT16 2806ref_2ab_c12, whole genome shotgun sequence.
AUAAUGAUACUCCCGCCUUGAACGCUUUACAGCAUUGGGCGGCUGCAUGAGAACCAUGCAGGGGGGCGACAUAACCCCGUGG